CACUCAUCCAGAGCGGUGGAGGGACCGGCCCUGCGAAACCGCGCCAACCCGGCGGAAGUGAACCUGACGGGUGGCAACUCCGGCAGCAUAAAGCUGGCAGAUGAGAG
rnacentral:ncRNA from 2 species